UACGAAGGGGGGCUAGCGUUGCUCGGAAUCACUGGGCGUAAAGGGUGCGUAGGCGGGUUUUUAAGUCAGGGGUGAAAUCCUGGAGCUCAACUCCAGAACUGCCUUUGAUACUGAAGAUCUUGAGUCCGGGAGAGGUGAGUGGAACUGCGAGUGUAGAGGUGAAAUUCGUAGAUAUUCGCAAGAACACCCAGUGGCGAAGGCGGCUCACUGGCCCGGUACUGACGCUGAGGCACGAAAGCGUGGGGAGCAAACAGG
rnacentral:rRNA from 1 species